GCGGUGCCGGUGGGAUUCCGGCAAACCAACCACACACAACCCCCACCCCCUUCCUUGUACCACCUUAUACACACACCCACGACUGUUUAGAGCGAGAAAGAGAUCGUCGGGAGAGUGAGAAAGAACAGUGAAAGAGGAGGAGGCACGACCGACCAGCAUCAUCUGGUGGCGGUGGACUACAGCAGCGGCAAUAGAACCACCACAGGUGGCGGCGCUGUGGUGGUUGGUGCCGGAAAAUGACGACGACGAUGAAACCGACGGCGACGGCGAUAGGGAUGGUUUUGAUAUAAUGAACUGAGGAGCAGAUUUUGGGCCUGCAAGUGAUUAUGCCUUUGGAGUUUGGAAUGUCUAUAUGUACCUCUCAACAUUUAUUUUCUUUUUGUACAAAUACAACACAAUACAUGUUAGUAUAGUUUCUAUUUGAACAAGUUUUGUCAAAUAUGUAUAUUAGAAUAGAAUGUAAAUAGACAGGUUUAUUGAUUUUGUUUGGGUUUUGGCUUCAUUUAUAUAAAAUUUAUGUAAAUUAUGCUGCUGGUUUUGGUGCAAAUUUAAUAUACAUAUAUAUUUAUUUCAA